GCAUACAUAAUUUAAUAAAAAUAUUAGGCUGUGGUCCUAAAAAUGAAAGUUAGACUCUUUCUGUAAACC
rnacentral:tRNA from 1 species